AAACAAACAUGAAGCAUACAUUGUACAAGUUUAAAAGAGUAAACUCUGGUUUUAUACCAAUGAAAUGUAAGAUGGAGAAGUCUCCAGUCAAAAGGACAUUUAAAAGCUGACUCUGUGGUAUUCUGGUCUGUUGCUCUUCAAACUGGUGCAUACAAUCAGUUUUGCAUUGGCAACUCUAGUUAUGAAAGCAUGGCAAUUAAUUGAUUUUGAUGAAUGCUGGCUAACUCUAAAAGAAAGCAAGUGGGAAAUACUCAAAUUCCAGAUAACUGUUUGCAGACCCAGAAUUUCUGUCUGUAGAAUUCUCUUUAACUCGAAGUUUUUGUAUGUGCAUUGCCACUUUGCUCACUUUUCCAGGUAUACAAAUAUUGCUGCUCCAGGCAAUAACAGAAAUAAACUUAUUUGAGCUACAAAAAGAACCUUCCUGACCUUUUGUGAUAGUAGAGGAAUCUGACAGGAAUAUGGAAAACCAAACUGUCUCCAGCAUGUCAAAAGAAGCAUAACUGUGUUGUAGAGAAGUUUUGUUAAACAAGACCAUUGCAACUCUAUGGUGCUGCUGAGAUGUCUACACAGUCCAAGCUAGAAUGGGAGUUUUCAGCUGCAAGACGUGACAGUUCUCCUGUUCCUGAACCUGGUCAUCAGCAAAACUUGGAUUUCAAACCAAGCUGGUAACAUUCCUAAUGUAAAAAACAAUUACUUUAUUA